UACUGGGCGUAAGCGCGCGCAGGUGGUUCUUUAAGUCUGAUGUGAAAGCCCACGGCUCAACCGUGGAGGGUCAUUGGAAACUGGGGAACUUGAGUGCAGAAGAGGAAAGUGGAAUUCCACGUGUAGCGGUGAAAUGCGUAGAUAUGUGGAAGAACACCAGUGGCGAAGGCGACUUUCUGGUCUGUAACUGACACUGAGGCGCGAAAGCGUGGGGAGCGAACAGGAUUAGAUACCCUGGUAGUCCACGCCGUAAACGAUGAUUGCUAACUGUUAGAGGGUUUCCGCCCUUUAGUGCUGCAGCUAACGCAUUAAGCACUCCGCCUGGGGAGUACGGCUGCAAGGCUGAAACUCAAAGGAAUUGACGGGGGCCCGCACAAGCGGGGGAGCAUGUGGUUUAAUUCGAAGCAACGCGAAAAACCUUACCAGGUCUUGACAUCGUCUGACAACGGUAGAAAUAGGGCUUUCCNCUUCGGGGGACAGAGUGACAGGUGGUGCAUGGUUGUCGUCAGCUCGUGUCGUGAGAUGUUGGGUUAAGUCCCGCAACGAGCGCAACCCUUGAUCUUAGUUGCCAGCAUUCAGUUGGGCACUCUAAGGUGACUGCCGGUGACAAACCGGAGGAAGGUGGGGAUGACGUCAAAUCAUCAUGCCCCUUAUGACCUGGGCUACACACGUGCUACAAUGGAUGGUACAGAGAGCCCGCAUACCCNCGAGGNCAACCUAAUCUCAUAAAGCCAUUCUCAUUUCAUAUUGCACGCUGCAACUCGCCUGCAUGAAGCCAGAAUCUCUAGUA
rnacentral:rRNA from 1 species